AGUGGUUCUCGGGUGACGCACCCCGGAAUCAGGCUCCCUCUUCUCUGGUUCCGGGUGUGUCAUCAGAGAACCGCA
rfam:Myotis brandtii contig159822, whole genome shotgun sequence.